ensembl:ncRNA lncRNA:CR44451 long non-coding RNA:CR44451
AUGGAGAUAUAUCCGUAUAUGUACAUAUUGUGCACAUGUGUAUCUAGCCACACCAUCCAGAGGCAAGCAGAUCAAGUGCAUUUUUAUGUAAAUCCAUUGUGUGGCAAUGUGAAAAUGCGUAGAAAAGGCGACACGAGGGAGAUUUGCAUAGAGCGCUUUCGAUUUCCACUCCCAUUUCCAUUUCCAUCGAAGGAAAUCGGACUAGAAAGGCGUUCUAUUUACAUCUCGUCUCGGAAACGGGGAUCCCCCACUUUGCUCCCCUCGACUUUAUUGAUUGAGUGAGUGAGCAGUGGGCACAUGUGUGUGCAAAUCAUAUUCAAUAUUUUGUUUGUUCUCCGCAAACACGCCAGUCGACUGAGCCCAUACUUUAUACAUAUAUAUGUAGGCUAAAGUCUAUAUAGACUUGGUUACCGAUUGCUCCGGCAAUUGUUAUUGUACUUUUGAUUGCAUUUGGCCCACUGACUCGCUUUUCACCCGCAGCCCACGGACAUGGUUGGCCCAAAAUUGAACUCUGCCCAACUUCCACACAACUUAAUCAUGGGCCAUGGAGCGCACUCACCGGGAUGCAGGGAUCCAGGGAGUCAAGGAGGCGAGGAUCCAGAGCAGCAAGGAUCCAGCACCAUCUGUCUGGCAGGCAGGCAAGCCGCAUUUGUUGAGCUCGUACCUUUUCCGUGUUGCCACAAUGUUGCCGCAAAAGUUUUCACAUUAAAACCGUUUCAUGCUGGCAAAUUGUGAAAUGAGUUAGCUGAACUGCAUCCCCCGAAAGGCAAAACGCUCUUGCCCGAAAAGUAAAAGUUCAAAAUGGUCAGAGUGCCGGAAAUUUACUUUGUUUGUCCGGGUAAUAUCUUUGCAGUCCCUAAAUAAAUAAUUUUAUUUCACAAUUUAUGGGUAAUCAAUUACCAGGUUGUUGUUUGCAGCUGAGAACAUGUAAUCUUUCUAAAAUAUAAUAAUGCUAAAGUCGACAUACUAAUAUAAAUACCUUGCUGAACCAAAACAAAUCAUGCUACUAGAGUGAACACAAAACAAUAGCAAACAGUAUGUUUUAAAAGAA